rnacentral:rRNA from 1 species
GCAGAACGCGAAGAACCUUACCUGGGCUUGACAUGGUAGUCGUAGACUUGUGAAAGCUUGUCGUCACUUCGGGUGGACUAUCACAGGUGCUGCAUGGCUGUCGUCAGCUCGUGUCGUGAGAUGUUGGGUUAAGUCCCGUAACGAGCGCAACCCCUAUGAACUGUUGCCAGCGGGUAAUGCCGGGGACUCUGUUCAGACUGCCCAGAUUAACUGGGAGGAAGGAGGGGAUGACGUCAAGUCAGUAUGGCCCUUACGCCCAGGGCUGCACACGUGCUACAAUGUCCAGUACAAUGUGAACCAAUACCGUGAGGUGGAGGAAAUCGUCAAAACUGGGCUCAGUUCGGAUUGUAGGCUGCAACUCGCCUACAUGAAGUUGGAAUCGCUAGUAAUGCUGCAUCAGCUACGGCAGCGUGAAUACGUUCCCGGGUCUUGUACACACCG